rnacentral:rRNA from 1 species
UGGGUAACCUGCCCUGUACACACGGAUAACAUACCGAAAGGUAUGCUAAUACGAGAUAAUAUGCUUUUAUCGCAUGGUAGAAGUAUCAAAGCUUUUGCGGUACAGGAUGGACCCGCGUCUGAUUAGCUAGUUGGUGAGGUAACGGCUCACCAAGGCGACGAUCAGUAGCCGACCUGAGAGGGUGAUCGGCCACAUUGGAACUGAGACACGGUCCAAACUCCUACGGGAUG